UUUGGUUAUCAAUAUAAAGUUUAUCAACUACGAGAACUACACGUUUCCCUUUUAAUCUAUUCUCCUUGAAGAUUGGGUACAGAGCUUUGGCCAUUCUGCAAUUUCCUUCGGAAAUUGAUAAUUCAUGCCUAUUUUCGUGCCAGCAAUUCUUUUACCCAGGCUUUCAACCAUUAUUUUCUAUUUAAAGAAAGCACAUUUGACAAUGACUGGGCACUCAUCUCUCUGUCCGAAACGGUGUACGCGUUCGAUUUGGAUUUUGUCGACAGCUUCGCUCAGGAUCUGAUGCACUAAAAUAAGGAUCUCCCUCACUACACCCUCAGGAACUUCUCCUUUUUCUCUUGGAUACCAUUGUAAAUCCUCCUGGAACCAACAUUUCCUCCCCAGUUUUCAGUUCCAUCCCUCCUGGAGAGGAGAUGGCAGUCAGCAAUACAACAACCGAAGGAGAAGAAGCCCACUUGCGCAGGAAGACAACACCCCACCUUGUGUCCGAAGAGGACACUAGUCUGCAAUAUGCUACAGCAACAUCUACCAGUGACCGAGCAAGUCUGCUUUAUACUACUGUGACAUUUACCGGUAACCAAGCUGGACCUGGGUGCACCAAGAUCAAGUUUGCAAUGACUGGAGACUACGCCCUCUUAGCAGAAUAAUAGAAUAAGAAAGACUGUCUUGAAGAAAAGUUUUUAGUUUUUCUCAUAGUUAACUUACGUGCCUUUCCUUCAACCUGGUGAUGCACUUACAAAAAAUAAUAAUAAUAUCACCCUGCUUGAUUUACAUAUCUUCUACUCUGUGGACACCAUGUCUUCCUGUAGUCUGUAAACAUCAGUUCCUCUCAGAUUAAUGGUAUUAUCUUACUGGGCUAUAAAUAGAUGUGCAGA